rnacentral:rRNA from 1 species
GGCUAACUACGUGCCAGCAGCCGCGGUAAUACGUAGGUGGCAAGCGUUAUCCGGAAUUAUUGGGCGUAAAGCGCGCGUAGGCGGUCUGAUAAGCCGGUUGUGAAAGCCCCGGGCUCAACCUGGGAACGGCAUCCGGAACUGUCAGGCUAGAGUGCAGGAGAGGAAGGUAGAAUUCCCGGUGUAGCGGUGAAAUGCGUAGAGAUCGGGAGGAAUACCAGUGGCGAAGGCGGCCUUCUGGACUGACACUGACGCUGAGGUGCGAAAGCGUGGGUAGCAAACAGGAUUAGAUACCCUGGUAGUCCACGCCGUAAACGAUGAGUGCUAAGUGUUAGGGGGUUUCCGCCCCUUAGUGCUGCAGCUAACGCAUUAAGCACUCCGCCUGGGGAGUACGACCGCAAGGUUGAAACUCAAAGGAAUUGAC